CGGACCGCCCUCAAUUGGGCUUCAUUUUAUGGCAGGUUUUGACUUUUGAUCCAUUUUUAAGUCAAUGAUCAAAACGAGCAUCAUUUUAUUGAAUGUUUGUGAUAUGAGAAAGUGUGUUUUUUGCAGAGAGGAACACAGUGGUGGCACUGAUGAAAUUUGGUGCGUAUGCAGGGGUGGUUGAUGACCCAACACCUAUGAAUCCAGGUGGACAAAUGGCUGCUGAGAGCUCCAGAAUCGGAAGCAUUAGACUAAGUGAAAAGGGCUGGAAAAAUACCUACGCCAAGCAACUUGGAACACCGCCCCCUAGUGCACAUUAGGGGGCUCGCCACCGGAGACUCAUUAUCAUGCUGGCGAGAAGAGAAAGAAGGUGAGAAACUAAUGUUAUUGGUCCGUCAAAUCUAUUCAUCAUUUUCACUCCAAGGGUAGAAUGGUGGAUCAGAGACCAAAGAACGAAGCUCUUGAAGGUAACCUGACCACAACAAUGGCCUGUUGCUAUGAUUGUCUGUGUGAAUGUUGCACUUUCCAUUUUUCUUUCAUAACUAAUAUACAGGACCUCGCGUAACAUUGAUAUGCACACACAUGUUGUAUAAAUUCUAACCUUUCAUAACUAUAUCUUCUUUUUAUUGAACUUGUAAAAGAAUAUAUAUUUUUUAUGAUAUUGUUAAAACUAUGAAGUCAAUCUUUUCCUAUCAUAAUCUGUGAUUUGCAAUGAAUGAACAUACAAUUUAUUUUUAUUUGCUUUGUAUUUGACAAGUUAGUAGUUAUAUCCUUAUAUUAAUCAUUCUCUGUGGACAUUCAUUUGGUGGAGGAGUAAGUUUGGAUUGUCCUACAACUUGAUGGACUUUUUUGCUUGGCCUUUCUUUCUUCAAAGAUUAAAACUCACUUUUCUUUUUCUUUCCAGGUUGCUGUUUUAUCUACCCUUGCUCUCUUGAGGGUGAUUGUAGCUGCUUCUUCAUCAACAGAGCAUGAAAAGUUCAUGUGAAGUGUAUCACAUUUUCUCAGACUGUUGGCAAUGCUUCUUUGAGAGAGUAUGUCUUAUUGUCUUAAUGUCUUAUGGUUUCAUAAAAAGUAGCAUAUGAAAGACAUAAAAAGAAAACAUAGUUGAUGGCAAUAAAAAAAAGAUAAUUUUUGGUUGAUUGUGAACAUCAUUAAUAGAUGUUUGUUACGGAUUGUAUAUUAAAUUAUAUUGGGUUUAAAAAAAAUACAAUUUAAUUAUUUUUGAAAAAAAAAAUCAAAGAAAAAACUAUAGUACUUGGAGUGUUACCACUAAAAUUUGUCAAUUCGUUAGAUUCCUCUAAUUUCAAUUAAUUAACAAAGUAGGAUGUUAUUUGACAUAUGUAUUUGUCAGUUGAGCAAAGGAACGUGUAGUUUAAUCUUUGAAAUUUGUCAAUUUUUUACAUUCCUCUAAUUUCAAUUAAUUAACAAAGUAGGAUGCUAUUUUAACAUAUGUAUUUGUCACUUGAGCAAAGGAACGUGUAGUUUAAUCUUUAAAAUUUUUCAAUUUAUUACAUUCCUCUAAUUUCAAGAAAUUACCAAAGCAUAUCAUGUAAGUUUCCAUGUUUUGACAAAGUAGGAUGCUAUUAUGUCAUUUUUGUUACUUUCAGAAAGGAACAUGUAGGUUAAACUUUCGAAAAUUUCAUUUUAUUACGUUCCUCUAAUUUCAAGAACUAAACAAAGUAUAACAUGUAAGGUCGCAUGUUUUGACAAAUUAUAUAAUUGAUAAAGUAGGUUACAUGCAUGCAAGAAACAACAAUGUACUUUCAUUUAUUUAAAAAUACAAUGCAAUAAUAGAAAACGAAUUAAAAGGACCAUUCUAUGUUUAAUUUUCAAAUUGAUGGGUAGUAUAUGAUGUCAAAUUGCUUACAAUUUUUUUUGUAUAUAUCCCAUGAUUUUACAUGCUCUUCCCUCUUUAUAGUGUAGUACAUUUUUUUUCUUACGUUGGGGGUGGCAAAGAUGGAUACACAGAUGCUGAUAUUGAUGAAAUUCGCAAAGAAUGGUCUUCUUUUGUGGCAACCUGUAUUUUUCGGUGAUAUUUUGUACCAACAAACAAUAUUUUGGUAACUUAGAAAUUUUUAUUAGCAUUUCACAUAGGAUUUCUACAAUAUUUUUGAUAAAUUGUUAUUGCAUUUACAUAAUGCUGAUUUUGCUAUAAGUUUGCUUUGGAUAUAAAAAUUAAGUCAUUUUUGUAUGUAUUUGAACUAAUCGUGUCACCAUUUUUGGCUAUUGAUAUUUUUAUAGAGUUACUACAGGUGUUUUUAUGUAGUAUUGUGUAGCUGGAUUUCUAUGGAAUCUAUUAUGUCACAUUUUUUCUGCAACGAAAGUAGUUUGUGAUAAAUUUUACUAAGAAAUAUUUGCAACAGAAGUGUAUUGUAGUAAAUUUGCUACGGAAAUAAACUGUAGUAAAGUUACUAUGAAAAAUUUGAUGCAGAAUUUUGUUGUCGUAAAUUCACUACGGAAUAUUUGCUACGCUAUAAUCGGUAGUAGAUUUACUAUGGAAAUCAACUACGGGGUUAGUUUGUAGUUAACUUGCAACGGAUGAACUACGGAUUGGGUCGUAGUUAAUUUGCUACACACUUGUUAUGGAAAAAAUUAUAGUUAAUUUGCUACGACAUUGGUACAGGUAUAGUUCAUAGCUAUUUUGCUACGAAAUAAGUUUGUUGCAAAUUCCGUUGCGAAGGUCCUACGGAUUCCGUAACAAACCUUUACUAACGAAGAAUUUUGCUAUAGAAUGGUUCCGUAGCAAAUUCCGUCUCUAAUCAUGUUUAACUACGGAAUAUCAUGUUUUAACUACGGAAUUUUUCCAUAGUUAUUUAGGUUUUUUUCUUGUAGUGACCUUUUAUUUAUCACCAUAUUGAUUACACAUUAUUCAUUGUAUGGUGUUUUGAUUUAUCAACCUAAUACUUGAAUUACAACAAUAGUCAUU
rnacentral:lncRNA from 1 species